rnacentral:lncRNA from 1 species
CUCUAAUCCUCCUUCGCUCUCCAUCUCGCUACUAUCUAGAUCUACUCUAGUUUAGAGAAGAGAGGAGAGCUCUCAUCUCUAAACCCUAGCUUUUGCUCUGUCUAUGAAUAAUGAUCAAGGGGUGUCUCCUCCAGGGGCCAGGGGGUCUGGUUUUAUAGUCCCCUCAAGUGAACCUGGGCCGUCGGAUCAAACCGACAUUGGUUGAACGGUUAUUCUUGAUCCUUUAGGUCGGUGGAGCAUAAUCCGCGAGAUUGAGCGUGAUUGGCUAUAGGAGGUGGGCGGGCGCCUAGUAGGACAGGGCGGGCGCCCUGUCUCUAGCCCCGUUUCGCCUCCGCUUCGGUCUCGUGGCUUCUGGAGUCUUCUAGAUGUAAGAUAAUUGCGCAGCACGUUAAUAUCUUUACGUAAUCCCGACAUGUGGGCCUUUCUUCCAUAUUUCCUGAUAACCCCCUGCAGAAAUAGACAAACACCAAAACUCGUGGAAUUCUGUCAGAUAAAACCCUAAGUCUAGAUCUUGAUUUCAUUUGGAUCCUUUUCUUUAUUUAUUUGAUAAUUAAAUUUGAUACUUAAGGACCGUCAACAAACUCCCCCAAGCUUACCUCUUGCUCGUCCCUGAGUAAGGAUAGACUCAGCUAUGGAUCAUAAGUUGUUGCAAUAUCUUUAAAAAUUGACGGUACACAUGCUUUUAAAUGAGGUCUCAUCUCUGAGUUAGAGUAAACUGUCAAGACUUUAAAACUUACUUACUUUACCUUUCACCAUGGGACUUGUAACCGUCACUUCUGUCUUGAGUGGUUAAAAGAUAGAACAGUCCCGUCAAGUGCCAUGUCUCUUAUUCUUGAUCAGCUAUAGCUCUGGAGUUUUUUGCAGAUUUUUAAAUAAAACUCAGAGAUUCCUUUGUAUGACUCUCUCAUAUCUCUCUUUUGUGGUAUUUCUGGAUCCUUACCAAGGCAGUGAUGGUAUAUGCCUUCUCUCAAAAUAUGUGGUAUUUGUGGUAUAAGGCAUAGUGACAUUGCCUUCUCUCUCAUCCUACUCUAAUAAGGCUUUAAUAUCUGGAGCUUAUAGGUGGGAGAUAAAGUAUACAUACUUACAAGACAUUUAUUGUAUAGUCAAACCAUGGAUCCAAAGAAACAAAUCAAUAAGCCAAAUCAAGAUGUGCAUGUGUGGCGAAUGAAUGGUGUAUAGUGAUGAUAGUGAUAACAAUGGUGAAAGUCUAAUUCUACUUUUGCUCUUUUGAGGGGAUACAUACCUUCCUUGCUUUUUGAAACUUUAUGAGGAGAAUGAGAUGCUCUUCUUUUUUCUUUCCUCUCAGGUGGGUAUCUUGUACCCCUAAUUCUACUGUCGGACACUAGUCCAUUUUUACCUCUCGUCUCACUUUUUCUUUCUUUCGAGGUUCCGGGCACUUGCCCCUUUUUAUUUCCUCGUUUAUUAUUUUUUUUUUCUUUUCUUCUCUUUUCUCUUUUUUUUUCUUUUUUUUCAGAGCACUCAUCUCCUGAAAUAAUGUAGCAAGUGGUAGUAACCAAAAUAACUGGAGCAUUUAUUUUACAGGGAAUAACAGGGAUAAGAAAAUGUUUUUGGCUAUUCUCUCCCGGAUUAGGAGUAGAAUGAUUUUGGGUGAAACUGGAGAUGGAAAUGGAUGGAUAUAUGUGGAUGGUACUUCCGGAGUAGAAGUAGCAUAUAUGAGUGAACGUGCAAGUGAAUCUUGAUUUAACCACAGGACAAGCUCCUAAGGGUCUACACAGCUUGACCACACUCAAUGCUCAUAAGCAGUAAAUAAUAAAUGUGUGGCUCAAAGUCUAGCAAGCAUGAAUAUAUGGCUGUGGUAGGAAUUUAAACUCUCAUCAUACAGGAACUCAUCAUGCAACAUUUUAAAGAUUUUCAAAGAUAAAAUUCUCCAGAAUUCUAGCAUCUCUAGGAACAGAUAAACAACAGCUCAACCUUCCCAUAUCUUAUCCGUUAACAACUUAGAUUUCAGAUCAAGUUUUCAUCCCACAAGUUUAGAUCUAGAGUAAGCUUUAAAUUAUAACAGUUAUGUCUAAACUUGAGAGAGAACUUUAAAUUUGCAAAUUAGGCAGAGCAACUCUUCAUCAUAUCCAUGCUAGAGUUUUAUUAUUAAGAUUCAUAGCAAACUUUAUUUAUUUAUUUAGCAAACUAAGAAAAGUAUAUAUAUAUAAGCAUAAAAUCUUUAUUUGGUUUUUCAUAGUUUAUGUAUUUUAAUAUUCUAAUAUAAUAUAAGUAUAAAGAUAGGUAGAAAUACUUAGCGAGAUAAAUAGGGGUGCUCUCCCCCAAGCUGAAUUUUGACGUAAUUUCUCUUGAUGUAGCUAGCAGGUGGCAGAGGUGUAUUUGAAAGUCAGCAGCAUUCUGACAGCGAUUAGAAUGUCCUCCGUCUGCUAGUCUUCUUGAUUCUUAAAUUCUGUGGAGCUCAAAUAGACAACAAAGCUUGUGGAACUAAUUAAGUGUUAGCAUAAAUAUCUAGCCUUCAUCACGUUGAGCUUCCUCAAUAAAUAUUACUCCCUGUUUUUAUAUUUUUAUUUUAUAAAGUAGAAAAGAAAUAUUUAUUUUAUUUUUAUGCCACCACGUACUUAUGGGUUUUAUGCCACUCGUAUACUCACAUGGGGCUUAGUAUUUUUUAAUAUUUUUAUUUUCUUUUCAAGAUAGUAUGAUUAACUAAUAAUCUAUUUAAGGAAAGUAAAUAAUUAAAUGAAAAAGGGAAUGCAGAAAGGAUAAAUAUGGAUAACUACAAUCUUACCUUUCGGCGAGGGUUCAAUGUUUUAAGUCUUCUUGUCAAGACUUCUCAUCGUGUUCAUUCUUCAGGUGCGUUAUUUGAUUCAGGUGCGGACCUUGACGUCUGCACCUUUUAAUACGGUGUCACCCAUGUUCUUCGUUUGCCCAGCAGUUCGAAGUGCGGUGUUAGCAGUAUCUUGCUCAGUGUGUUUGUGCUCGUAGUGUACCUACUCAUAGAGACAAGGCAGAGAUCAAGUGCAUGGGCCCUGUUGGUGGAAAACACCAACAGAACCAAAAGUGUAUUUGUUCUUCUCUAACCUUAAGCAUACUGAGCAAGACAAGUUGAUGGAUGAUAAGUUCAUGAGUGUAGCACUUAUAACAUUUGUCAGAUCAGAUCGCUCAACCUUAUGCAAAGAUAAUCUAUCUAUGUAUAUGUCUUUUUCUUUAUAUCUCUCAAUGAUUGAAUGUGUAACAUUUUAGCUCAUAUGAUUAGGAGUGUGGGAUCAUAGAGGUAGUACUAAGAACAAGGAUUAAAGGACUAAACAUGUUGAAUCAAUUGGGUUGGUUAAUCUAGAGUUGUAAAUCAUGCACGUUUGUCUCUUUUAUUUAUAUGAACGCCAGAACCAAGGAGAAGCUUAUAAAAGAGAUAGUCAAGUACCUUAAGAUGUUAUCUUGCUCGAAGAGUGAUGGUACAGUAUCAUCUUGUGGAAGCUUUCCUUUCUUAGCGGUUGUGCGUCGUUUUUGUGGCACCCUCCAUGGAUCAUCUCUCUAUGAUGAAUGAGCUAUGUCCUUCUUGUGCAAAUUGUUAAACUUCAUGUGUCACUCUCUUCGUCUCUGAUGUGAGUUUAUCUCGGGACUUCCCAAAUCGAUAUUGAAAGUUUUUCUGCAGGGGUUAGUCCGACAAAAUAUACCAAUAUCUACUCAAGCAGUUUUUUUUAGUUCAAUAACCAAACUAGACUCCAUGUCUAAUCAGAUUAAGGAAGGCUAUUUAAUCUAAGCACCAUGCUUAAUUUAAAUGCCAAUGGAAGUAUGGCGAGUACUUCCAAACCAACACUUGCU